UUGGCAUUGCACACCUUAAUUUAUUUCAAAAGAUUGCACUCAACUUAAAGCAAACUAUGAAUGUUCAUUUAGAAAUUCCAUUCUUUUAACCAUGAAUAAAAGUUGCCGAAUGAAGUCAUUUUGGAUCAACAAAAGCGAUUAUCAGUUCUAAGUUCCGUUGCCUAUUCCCAUGAAUUUGUAUCAAUAUACUCCGGAAGAUCUUAGCCUACACAU
rnacentral:lncRNA from 1 species